AACAUCUGGUAAGAGUUUGAGGAAGUGUACAAAUAUCCUAAGAAUAUUAUCCAUACUGGCAUACUGGAGAUCUCUUAAACUUUUAAAAAGCCAGUUUCAAUCAAUAGUGUGUCAUCACUGCCACGAAGGCCUAAAAAUACUUCGAUGCCAAACAAAUGGAUGAGACAAUUGAUAUCUUUUGGUGCAUUUGGUGUGUAUGAAAAUUCUGGUUCCUGCUGUGUGAGUUGUCCUUUUAAAAUAAAUCUCAGUCAAACUGACACGUCUGUGGAAAAGAAAAUAUAGGAAUCGUAAGUAACCAUAAAAAUGUCUUAAAGCUAUGUAAUAUCAUUCUACAGGAGUGGAUCCUGUG
rnacentral:misc_RNA from 1 species